CAGGGCGCGGCAGCCAAUCAGAGCGCGGCUUCUAUAGGGCUUGAGUUAUUAGACGCUGAUCUCAAAACAUCCUUCAUCAGACACCAAGGAGAGGCCAACAGAUGAGGGGAGCCAUUUUUCUGCAAUGGAAUUAAAUGGCCAAGUGGGUUUUUCCUUUGUUGCAAGUGGGGAAUGUUUUUCCUUUGACUCCACCAUCCAGUUCAGGACGCCUGAAUGCGUUGUUUAACAUUUCAACAUGCUAAAGGACUCAUAAUUGGAAGAAUGAAGAAGACCUUUUAAAAAGAUCUGGAUUUUUCCUUAUGACGUGGAAUCCAUCUUUGUCUUGUAUAACUAGGUCAUAGCACACCAUUAAUGUCAGCAGUUAACAGUUUUGAAUUCCAAAAAACCUAAAGCAGUAAACAGUCCAGAGCGAAGCCGCCUUUUUGCCAACCCAACCCUGGAAAGUUUGCAGACGUGGAAGGAACAGAAAAUGCCAUGACAGUGUAACUUACAAAAAGGUCCUGCCGGAGGAGGCAACACCUGAGUGCCCCCCAACCCCACUGUAGACAAUCCUUGCUUCCUCUGGCCAGCUGGAGCAGGCCUAGCUUGACUGUCAGUGCUCCCACUAAGUCGUUGGGCCUGGAGCUUCACCUUACCUUGCCCCAUCAUUGGCCUCAGAUGGUAGUGACGGAAGUCUCCCAGCUGCACCCUGACGGCUUACAGCCAGUUCCUCCACUCCUUCUCAGAGCAUUGGAGAGCGCAGUUGGGUGGUGAACUGUGGACUGGGUGUGAUUCUUCGAAGGAAGGGAGAACUGGUCUCACUGUAGCCCAGGCUGCUCUGGAAUUCACUGCAUAGUCUCAGGCUGGACUUGAACUCCCCGUGAUCCACCUACCUCUGCCUCCUGAGUGCUGGGAUUAAAGGAGUGCACCACCACACCCGGUUUAGGCUUUCUUUCACAAGCCAUGUGAGUUCUCUAGGCAUAGCGGGACUCUGGAUUCCAGGGCCUGACCUGAGGCAGCCAGAAAGAAAAGGCCUAGAGUCUCUGCGAAGGGCUUAUCUCCUGUCCAGCAGUCUUCCAGUUCUUGGCCUGGAUGCCAGGCCUUCCAUGAUUUAGCACCAGUUACCUUGACAACCAUCUCUGGCUCACUGUUUCUCCACCAUCACUGCAAAGCUGAAGAUGGUUUGCCAACUGCAGUACAUUUGCCCAGACUGAGCACCCCUCUUGCUUCCAUUGGCCUGCCCUGCAAAACCUCCCAGCUCAGUUCAUGUUCCAGCCAACUCAGCCUUCCCUCGGCCCUUGGCUGUGAUCUCUACCAUUGAUUGCUCUCACCUCCUGAACUCUCAAAUUACUGCUUCCAGAGUGAGCUUCCUACAGGUAGGAGGAACACGAUUGCCUCUCAAUAAACAUUCUGCA